AUUUUUUAUGAAAUCAAACUAAGUUUAAUUUUGGACCCUUUGGGUCCCUUAUUCCUAAACUGUUGGGACCAAAACUCCCAAAAUCAAUCCCAACCUUCCUUUUAUGGUCAUAAACCUUGUGUUCAAAUUUCAUAGAUUUCUAUUUACUUAUACUAAAGUUAUGGUGCGAAAACAAAGAAAAAUGCUUAUUUGGGCCCCUUUUUGGCCCUUAAUUCCUAAACUGUUGGGACCAAAACUACCAAAAUCAAUCCUAACCUUCCUUUUGUGAUCAUGAACCUUGUGUUAAAAUUUCAUAGAUUUCUAUUUACUUAUACUUAAGUUAUAGUGCGAAAACCAAAUGUCUUCGGACUACUAUGAUGACGACGACGCAGACGACGACGCCAACGUGAUACCGAUAUACGACCAAAAAAUUCUCAAUUUUUGCGGUCUUAUAAAAAGAUAUGAAUACAUUCAAAUCAAAAAAGGUUAUAUUAUAUAAUACAAAAUAUAUGUUCCUACUGCACCUUGUGCCAUAGUAAAAUAUUAUAGUUCUUCCCUUUUAUGGUACACAACUUAAAUAUUAUGUUUUUGAAACACUAAACAUGACAUAAACAUAACUUACAAAUUUAUAAUAAAUAUGAAAAAACUACAAGUCAAAUUCUUAAUUCAACAUAUCCAUCUAUUAUAAAUUGACAAUACAAAAACAAACAUUAACAAAUUGAAGCACCAACAAGAACGUCCAUAUCACAAAAGUUUUACUCUACUUUAAUUAAUUUACUGUAUUCUUCUUGGGGUUUAGAAAUCCAUUCUUCUUUCACCUUAUUUCUUUUCAGCAUACCAUC
rnacentral:lncRNA from 1 species